rnacentral:rRNA from 1 species
AACGUAGGUGGCGAGCGUUAUCCGGAUUUACUGGGCGUAAAGGGUGUGCAGGCUGCCCCUCAAGUGGUGUAUGAAAGGGCUCGGCUCAACCGGGCUAGGUUAUGCCAGACUGAGGGGCUAGAGAGCGAGAGCGGGACGUGGAAUUCCGGGUGUAGUGGUGAAAUGCGUAGAUAUCUGGAGGAACACCGGUGGCGAAGGCGGCAUCCUGGACCGACACUGACACUGAGGUGCGAAAGCCAGGGGAGCAAACGAG